AUGGGCGAACGACGGGAAUUGAACCCGCGCAUGGUGGAUUCACAAUCCACUGCCUUGAUCCACUUGGCUACAUCCGCCCCUUAUCCCUUAUCCAUAAUAAUAAUUAUAUAUAUACAUAUGUAUAUUCAUUUAUUAUUAUGA
rnacentral:tRNA from 1 species